rnacentral:rRNA from 1 species
AUUGAACGCUGGCGGCAUGCCUUACACAUGCAAGUCGAACGGUAACAGGUCUUCGGAUGCUGACGAGUGGCGAACGGGUGAGUAAUACAUCGGAACGUACCCGAUCGUGGGGGAUAACGAAGCGAAAGCUUUGCUAAUACCGCAUAAGAUCUACGGAUGAAAGCAGGGGACCGCAAGGCCUUGCGCGAACGGAGCGGCCGAUGGCAGAUUAGGUAGUUGGUGGGAUAAAAGCUUACCAAGCAGACAAUCUGUAGCUGGUCUGAGAGGACGACCAGCAACAGUGGGACUGAGACGCGGCACAGAAUCCUACGGGAGGCAGCAGGGGGGAAUUUUGGACAAUGGGCGAAAGCCUGAACCAGCCAUGCCGCGUGCAGGAUGAAGGCCCUCGGGUUGUAAACUGCUUUUGUACAGAACGAAAAGGUCUCUAUUAAUACUAGGGGCUCAUGACGGUACUGUAAGAAUAAGCACCGGCUAACUACGUGCCAGCAGCCGCAGUAA